GUACUGUCAGUAACAUUCUGAUAUGUACUGCAGUAACAUUCUGAUAUGUACUGUCAGUAACAUUCUGAUAUGUACUGUCAGUAACAUUCUGAUAUGUACUGUCAGUAACAUUCUGAUAUGUACUGUCAUAACAUUCUGAUAUGUACUGCAGUAACAUUCUGAUAUGUACUGCAGUAACAUUCUGAUAUGUACUGUCAGUAACAUUCUGAUAUGUACUGUCAGUAACAUUCUGAUAUGUACUGUCAGUAACAUUCUGAUAUGUACUGUCAGUAACAUUCUGAUAUGUACUGUCAGUAACAUUCUGAUAUGUACUGUCAUAACAGUAUGUUAUAAUCCUAUCAGACACAGAAGGAACAACUUUGAUAAACGUAUAUCAAGCACAUUCAAUGUAGACCCUCAAAGACAAGGCCCUUGUGUGUGUGUGUGUGUG